CCUGGGUGGCGACGGCAGCCGCCCCUUUAUCGGCUUCCUCGUUGCCGUGUAGCCCGGUGUGCGAGAUCACUUUAAUUAGAGCGGUGGGUGCGCCCCGGGCGUGGCGUGCAUGGAGCAAUGCCACGAUUGAAUCCAGGAGGUCCCGAUGUUUACUCAGAUGCAGUCGCCGAGGCUCGUUAAUAGCUCGUUUGAUUAGGUACAAGCUUGCAACAGAAUCUGAUGCAAUAGUGAGCUUCUUAGUUGCAAAUUCUUUACCUUCGCCACCAAAUUCUGCGAGGGCAGCACGAAUUGCUGCCAGUUCAGCUCUCGUAAUAGUGUUUGUGCACCCAGCGCCAUUUGGAUUCACGUAGACAACGCGAGAAUCGCUGAACCAGGCGCAGGCACCGGCAACCUGGACUUCUUUGCCAUUUCAGUUUUGAUUUUGCUUACCGAACCAUCUGUCCAGACAGUGCCAUUCACGUCGUGGGCCAGAGCAUGGUGGGUCUGGAAUCGCGCGUUAGGAAAGCGUCGUGCUUUUUCAGCCAUGGCGUGUAUCGUCUUUGGGUUAGCGUGCUGGUAUUUGGCUUGCUUUAGAAGUGAGUUUGGGAGGGCCGGGCAGGUCGGGGCCGUGGCCGUGUGUGUCCACGUGCGCGGGUCGCUGAUGUGCGUGGGUGCGUUCGCCCCCCGUUUCAGUGUGUCCACGAGCCGUUUCAGGCGGGGGGCAAAGCACUGGAGUCCGGCGGGGUUCCCAACAAUGACCAGUCGGAGCCCCUUCUGGCGUUCAGCCUGGGUGUUGGUGCCAAGUCCUGUGUCGAGGCCCGCGGUGCCCGCGGACCAGUUGGCCAGCUCGUGGCAAAGUGGGUGUUGAAGCCACUGCGUGUGGGGGAAAGUGGCCGCUUUGGGGAGCGCCAAUACAGUAAGGGUUGGUUCCUGUGAGUCACGCAUAGCCUCGGCGCAUGCGAGGGCCCACAUGAGCGCCUUCCGUGCAUCGUGGGGGGUAGAGGGGGGGUGGGCAUAUUGCAAGCCGGUCCAUGCGGUCUGGUAGGCAUCGUGCAGUGCGCCAAAGGUCCCAUCAGCAGGGUCUCGUGUCCAGUAUUCGUGGGCUGCAGUGGAGGAGUUUAGUGGGGACGCAAACAUUUCCCGAAUGUGUACUGCUUGUGUGACCCGCAGGCAUUGGACGAUGGCUGCUACUGUGCCUGCCGGCAGCGACACCUGGUGCAUUGGCAUGGCCUUGCGGUCCUGCUGCGCCGGGUCAUAGCGGUAGCGCAUGAUGAGGGCAGCGACCGCUUCCUCAAAGGCGUUGGGCCGCUGGUUGCCGGUGUGCCUGAAGCGCUCCCACAGGGUAAGGAGGCGGGGGUAGGUGAUGGUGCCCAGCCAGCGGCCACUGGGUUCAUGGACGUGUGCCUCAGCUGGGUCACGGCGGGUGCCACCAGUGGUGGUAAUUGUGUAUGCUCCGGGGGCCACGAUGUCCUUGUAGGGGUUGCACGGGCUUGUGGUGAUGGUGGUGGUCGUGCGGAUGUCACGCGCGCGGGAUGCGGUAUCCAGGGGCUCGGCGUCGUGGCGGCCUUGGCGCUGUCUGGCGGUAAGGUUCCGAUCAGGUGCGGGGCGCACUGUUCGGGGCCGCGGGCCUUGGUUGGUACCGUUUGCUAGCCGGGUUUUGCACUCCUCCAGUAACUCCUCCCAUUGUGGACUGUGUUUUAGGUCCCGUUCACGGUCCGUGCUCGGCGCCCACGUGACAUGUCGCAGGAGUUUGGUCGUCCAGGACGAGAAUAGGGGGGCCCCAGUGGGCUGCGGUGCUGCCGGCUCUGCAGCUUGGGCAGGCUCUUCAGG
rnacentral:lncRNA from 1 species